GUGGGGAAUAUUGGACAAUGGGCGCAAGCCUGAUCCAGCCAUGCCGCGUGAGUGAUGAUGGCCCUAGGGUUGUAAAGCUCUUUCAGUGGGGACGAUAAUGACGGUACCCACAGAAGAAGCCCCGGCUAACUGCGUGCCAGCAGCCGCGGUAAUACGACGGGGGCUAGCGUUGUUCGGAUUUACUGUGCGUAAAGCGCACGUAGGCGGAUCGUUAAGUCGAGGGUGAAAGACUGGAGCUCAACUCCAGAACGGCCUUCGAUACUGGCGAUCUUGAGUCCGGAAGAGGUGAGUGGAACUCCUAGUGUAGAGGUGGAAUUCGUAGAUAUUAGGAAGAACACCAGUGGCGAAGGCGGCUCACUGGUCCGGUACUGACGCUGAGGUGCGAAAGCGUGGGGAGCAAACAGGAUUAGAAACCCGUGUAGUCC
rnacentral:rRNA from 1 species